AACGCGAAGAACCUUACCAGGUCUUGACAUCGAUCUAAAAGGGAUGGAGACAUCCUCAUAGCUAUAGAGAAGACAGGUGGUGCAUGGUUGUCGUCAGCUCGUGUCGUGAGAUGUUGGGUUAAGUCCCGCAACGAGCGCAACCCCUGUCGUCAGUUACUAACAUUCAGUUGAGGACUCUGGCGAGAAUGCCGAGGUUAACUCGGAGGAAGGUGGGGAUGACGUCAAAUCAUCAUGCCCCUUAUGUUCUGGGCUACACACGUGCUACAAUGGUCGGUACAAUGAGAGGCAAACCUGUGAGGGGGAGCAAAUCACCAAAACCGAUCCCAGUUCGGAUUGUAGGCUGAAACUCGCCUACAUGAAGUUGGAGUUGCUAGUAAUCGCAGAUCAGAAUGCUGCGGUGAAUGCGUUCCCGGGUCUUUACACACCG
rnacentral:rRNA from 1 species